rnacentral:lncRNA from 1 species
GCGCCGUGCACACCCUGUGCUCCGGGCGAGGGCGAGGGCCAGUGAGGGCCAAACUGCAACUCCCCCGGAGCCCAGCCUCCCUCCCGGAAAGCAAGUGCCCGCGUGUCGCUCAGGCGAGGGGAGCCAAUGUGUGCCUCGGAGGAGGUCUGCUCUGAGCCCCACGCACGCUGGUGCUGAUGGUUCUUACCAGCUGUGUGUCUGUGCAAGGAAAAGCCAGAGACGCUGCCUGCCUGCUCCCUCUCUCUUCUGCUCUCUCCCUCCCUUUGCAAACAUUGGAUUUAAACCUGCUCAGAAUUCAGCACAGAGGAAGGCGGCCGCGGCGGCAGCAGCAGCAGCAGCGGGAGCGAGCCCAGCCGCCGAGACACCGCAGCCUCAAGAUGCACCACCCUGCCUGGUGGGCCGUCUUCUCGGUGACAGUCGCCCUGCUCUUCAUCCCAGGGCUUCCCACGCUGACCUGCACUCGUCCACUCAUCCCUCGA